rnacentral:rRNA from 1 species
GACGAACGCUGGCGGCGUGCUUAACACAUGCAAGUCGAACGGAAAGGCCCUGCUUUUGUGGGGUGCUCGAGUGGCGAACGGGUGAGUAACACGUGAGUAACCUGCCCUUGACUUUGGGAUAACUUCAGGAAACUGGGGCUAAUACCGGAUAGGAGCUCCUGCUGCAUGGUGGGGGUUGGAAAGUUUCGGCGGUUGGGGAUGGACUCGCGGCUUAUCAGCUUGUUGGUGGGGUAGUGGCUUACCAAGGCUUUGACGGGUAGCCGGCCUGAGUGGGUGACCGGCCACAUUGGGACUGAGAUACGGCCCAGACUCCUACGGGAGGCAGCAGUGGGGAAUAUUGCACAAUGGGCGGAAGCCUGAUGCAGCAACGCCGCGUGCGGGAUGACGGCCUUCGGGUUGUAAACCGCUUUCGCCUGUGACGAAGCGUGAGUGACGGUAAUGGGUAAAGAAGCACCGGCUAACUACGUGCCAGCAGCCGCGGUGAUACGUAGGGUGCGAGCGUUGUCCGGAUUUAUUGGGCGUAAAGGGCUCGUAGGUGGUUGAUCGCGUCGGAAGUGUAAUCUUGGGGCUUAACCCUGAGCGUGCUUUCGAUACGGGUUGACUUGAGGAAGGUAGGGGAGAAUGGAAUUCCUGGUGGAGCGGUGGAAUGCGCAGAUAUCAGGAGGAACACCAGUGGCGAAGGCGGUUCUCUGGGCCUUUCCUGACGCUGAGGAGCGAAAGCGUGGGGAGCGAACAGGCUUAGAUACCCUGGUAGUCCACGCUGUAAACGGUGGGUACUAGGUGUGGGGUCCAUUCCACGGGUUCCGUGCCGUAGCUAACGCUUUAAGUACCCCGCCUGGGGAGUACGGCCGCAAGGCUAAAACUCAAAGGAAUUGACGGGGCCCCGCACAAGCGGCGGAGCAUGCGGAUUAAUUCGAUGCAACGCGUAGAACCUUACCUGGGUUUGACAUGGAUCGGGAGUGCUCAGAGAUGGGUGUGCCUCUUUUGGGGUCGGUUCACAGGUGGUGCAUGGCUGUCGUCAGCUCGUGUCGUGAGAUGUUGGGUUAAGUCCCGCAACGAGCGCAACCCUUGUUCACUGUUGCCAGCACGUUAUGGUGGGGACUCAGUGGAGACCGCCGGGGUCAACUCGGAGGAAGGUGGGGAUGACGUCAAGUCAUCAUGCCCCUUAUGUCCAGGGCUUCACGCAUGCUACAAUGGCUGGUACAGAGAGUGGCGAGCCUGUGAGGGUGAGCGAAUCUCGGAAAGCCGGUCUCAGUUCGGAUUGGGGUCUGCAACUCGACCUCAUGAAGUCGGAGUCGCUAGUAAUCGCAGAUCAGCAACGCUGCGGUGAAUACGUUCCCGGG